UACGAAGGGGCUAGCGUUGUUCGGAAUCACUGGGCGUAAAGGGCGCGUAGGCGGUCAGCACAAGUCAGUUGUGAAAUCUCCGGGCUUAACUCGGAAAGGUCAACUGAUACUGUGCGACUAGAGUGCGGAAGGGGCAACUGGAAUUCUCGGUGUAGCGGUGAAAUGCGUAGAUAUCGAGAGGAACACCUGCGGCGAAGGCGGGUUGCUGGGCCGACACGUGACGCUGAUGCGCGAAAGCCAGGGGAGCGAACGGG
rnacentral:rRNA from 1 species